GGUUAAGCGACUAAGCGUACACGGUGGAUGCCCUGGCAGUCAGAGGCGAUGAAGGACGUGCUAAUCUGCGAAAAGCGUCGGUAAGGUGAUAUGAACCGUUAUAACCGGCGAUGUCCGAAUGGGGAAACCCAGUGCAAUUCGUUGCACUAUCGUUAACUGAAUACAUAGGUUAACGAGGCGAACCGGGGAACUGAAACAUCUAAGUACCCCGAGGAAAAGAAAUCAACCGAGAUUCCCCCAGUAGCGGCGAGCGAACGGGGAGCAGCCCAGAGUCUGAAUCAGCUUGUGUGUUAGUGGAACGGUCUGGAAAGUCCGACGGUACAGGGUGAUAGUCCCGUACACCAAAAUGCACAGGCUGUGAACUCGAAGAGUAGGGCGGGACACGUGGUAUCCUGUCUGAAUAUGGGGGGACCAUCCUCCAAGGCUAAAUACUCCUGACUGACCGAUAGUGAACCAGUACCGUGAGGGAAAGGCGAAAAGAACCCCGGCGAGGGGAGUGAAAAAGAACCUGAAACCGUGUACGUACAAGCAGUGGGAGCACCUUCGGGUGUGACUGCGUACCUUUUGUAUAAUGGGUCAGCGACUUAUAUUCUGUAGCAAGGUUAACCGUAUAGGGGAGCCGCAGGGAAACCGAGUCUUAACUGGGCGUUAAGUUGCAGGGUAUAGACCCGAAACCCGGUGAUCUAGCCAUGGGCAGGUUGAAGGUUGGGUAACACUAACUGGAGGACCGAACCGACUAAUGUUGAAAAAUUAGCGGAUGACUUGUGGCUGGGGGUGAAAGGCCAAUCAAACCGGGAGAUAGCUGGUUCUCCCCGAAAGCUAUUUAGGUAGCGCCUCGUGAAUUCAUCUUCGGGGGUAGAGCACUGUUUCGGCUAGGGGUCAUCCCGACUUACCAACCCGAUGCAAACUACGAAUACCGAAGAAUGUUAUCACGGGAGACACACGGCGGGUGCUAACGUCCGUCGUGAAGAGGGAAACAACCCAGACCGCCAGCUAAGGUCCCAAAGUCAUGGUUAAGUGGGAAACGAUGUGGGAAGGCACAGACAGCCAGGAUGUUGGCUUAGAAGCAGCCAUCAUUUAAAGAAAGCGUAAUAGCUCACUGGUCGAGUCGGCCUGCGCGGAAGAUGUAACGGGGCUAAACCAUGCACCGAAGCUGCGGCAGCGACACUAUGUGUUGUUGGGUAGGGGAGCGUUCUGUAAGCCUGCGAAGGUGUGCUGUGAGGCAUGCUGGAGGUAUCAGAAGUGCGAAUGCUGACAUAAGUAACGAUAAAGCGGGUGAAAAGCCCGCUCGCCGGAAGACCAAGGGUUCCUGUCCAACGUUAAUCGGGGCAGGGUGAGUCGACCCCUAAGGCGAGGCCGAAAGGCGUAGUCGAUGGGAAACAGGUUAAUAUUCCUGUACUUGGUGUUACUGCGAAGGGGGACGGAGAAGGCUAUGUUAGCCGGGCGACGGUUGUCCCGGUUUAAGCAUGUAGGCUGGUUGUCCAGGCAAAUCCGGAUAAUCAAGGCUGAGGUGUGAUGACGAGGCACUACGGUGCUGAAGUAACAAAUGCCCUGCUUCCAGGAAAAGCCUCUAAGCAUCAGGUAACAUCAAAUCGUACCCCAAACCGACACAGGUGGUCAGGUAGAGAAUACCAAGGCGCUUGAGAGAACUCGGGUGAAGGAACUAGGCAAAAUGGUGCCGUAACUUCGGGAGAAGGCACGCUGGUGUGUAGGUGAAGCCCCUGCGGGUGGAGCUGAGACCAGUCGAAGAUACCAGCUGGCUGCAACUGUUUAUUAAAAACACAGCACUGUGCAAACACGAAAGUGGACGUAUACGGUGUGACGCCUGCCCGGUGCCGGAAGGUUAAUUGAUGGGGUUAUCCGUAAGGAGAAGCUCUUGAUCGAAGCCCCGGUAAACGGCGGCCGUAACUAUAACGGUCCUAAGGUAGCGAAAUUCCUUGUCGGGUAAGUUCCGACCUGCACGAAUGGCGUAAUGAUGGCCAGGCUGUCUCCACCCGAGACUCAGUGAAAUUGAACUCGCUGUGAAGAUGCAGUGUACCCGCGGCAAGACGGAAAGACCCCGUGAACCUUUACUAUAGCUUGACACUGAACAUUGAGCCUUGAUGUGUAGGAUAGGUGGGAGGCUUUGAAGCGUGGACGCCAGUCUGCGUGGAGCCAACCUUGAAAUACCACCCUUUAAUGUUUGAUGUUCUAACGUUGGCCCCUGACCGGGGUUGCGGACAGUGUCUGGUGGGUAGUUUGACUGGGGCGGUCUCCUCCCAAAGCGUAACGGAGGAGCACGAAGGUUAGCUAAUCCUGGUCGGACAUCAGGAGGUUAGUGCAAUGGCAUAAGCUAGCUUGACUGCGAGCGUGACGGCGCGAGCAGGUGCGAAAGCAGGUCAUAGUGAUCCGGUGGUUCUGAAUGGAAGGGCCAUCGCUCAACGGAUAAAAGGUACUCCGGGGAUAACAGGCUGAUACCGCCCAAGAGUUCAUAUCGACGGCGGUGUUUGGCACCUCGAUGUCGGCUCAUCACAUCCUGGGGCUGAAGUAGGUCCCAAGGGUAUGGCUGUUCGCCAUUUAAAGUGGUACGCGAGCUGGGUUUAGAACGUCGUGAGACAGUUCGGUCCCUAUCUGCCGUGGGCGCUGGAGAAUUGAGGGGGCUGCUCCUAGUACGAGAGGACCGGAGUGGACGCAUCACUGGUGUUCGGGUUGUCAUGCCAAUGGCACUGCCCGGUAGCUAAAUGCGGAAGAGAUAAGUGCUGAAAGCAUCUAAGCACGAAACUUGCCCCGAGAUGAGUUCUCCCUGAGACUUUAAGUCUCCUGAAGGAACGUUAAAGACGAUGACGUUGAUAGGCCGGGUGUGUAAGCGCAGCGAUGCGUUGAGCUAACCGGUACUAAUGAACCGUGAGGCUUAACCUU
rnacentral:rRNA from 1 species